GGUCAUAUGCUUGUCUCAAAUGUAUUAGAACGGUUGAAACUGAGAAUGGUUCAGGAAUCGGAUCUAAUUGUCUGGGCCGCCAUUAUUCUCGGAGGCGAUAGAUAACUGUAGUAAUUCUAGAACUAAUACAUCUAACACAGGUCGUGAUCGGUCAUUGCAUCGCUGAUACCUUGCUUUCUUGUGCGUUGGCGCCCACAUUGAUUCGUUCCCGCCGUCGCCGGCAACUGCUGGUAUCCUCGUGGUGUCGGUAGUGGUGGUGGAUGUGGUAGUAGUGAUUAUAGUGUGUCGGCUGUAAACGGGUGAUGAACGGUGUCCUCUGAUUUGGUUACUCUGCAUAAUUCACUGGUCGGGCUUCCAAGCCUAGCGACUGAUCUCUGGAGAGUCAUCAACUAUCAAUGGUCGAUUGGGUAACAAUGAAUCGGGGUUCGAUUCCGAGGAGGGGGUCAUGCAAAAUGGCUACCACUUCCAAGAAAAGCAACAGACCCACUUUCGAUCUUGAGAUUGGAAUGAAUACAUUUCAAAUCCGUUAAUGAGGACCAAACGAGGGGUAAUUUAAUUUCUGCUAUAGUAUAUUAUAGAUGUUGCGAAAA